ensembl:lncRNA
CUCUAACAGGCUGCAAUCAGACGCUUCUUUGUUAAUACAGAGGAGUGCUUGGAUUUACGUUUAAAGACAACGAAUGAAGAGUAGGGUCAAAUCUUUGAGGAAUAUGCAUUGUGCUGCAUCCCCAGAGGCUGGCUUGUUUGCUGAUCGCUGUGUCCAUGGAUUACUCCUACAGACAGGGACAAGCCAUGCUCUGACUGCGGGCAGUGGUGGAAGUAGCUCAGCAGUCCACAGUCUGAAAAACAAUGCCCUGCGAUGCUGACUAACUGCUGCAGCUUGAUUUGCUGCACCAGCCGAGCUCCUGGAUGGAUCUGGAUGUUAUUUGCAUCUCGUCUGAUGGCAACAGCAAAGUCCUUAUGAGCAGCAUCCGGUCUGCCUGCCAAGUCUGAGCUGGUCCUCUGCUGAAUUAAUAG